rnacentral:lncRNA from 1 species
UUGGAUCUCUAAUUGCAAAGCUCGUAAAAGUUUUGAUUUCACCUUGAUGUAACUUUAAUUGGACUAAUGAAACCAUGGUAAACGUGGAAAAUGGGUAUUUCUCUACUUUUUUACUAUAAUAAUUAAACAUGUAAAAAAAUUUAGAGGCAUAUCUACCCUUUUCAGUCUAUAUGGUAUUAAUUCAGUGAAAAGACUCGGUUAGCAUGGAAAGAUCAUAAAAUUCUGUCAUAAAGUUUUCUUUUGAAGUUGUUGCAUUCCUCACAAUAAUAGUAGUAGAUAAAGCAGAAAAUGACUCUUCAGUCAAUUCGGGUUUGGUCGAGUAAAGUAGAAAAUGAAAAUAUAGUAUCAGAACGAGACCUCCUAUAACCAAUAAUUGUUCUUUUUCCCUCUGGUCUACAAUCACUAAUUGUAAAAUAUGAAGUUAAGAAACGAAAGGCUUGUAAUUUGUUUGUAUUGUUUUCUGAUUUGCUGAAAUGCAAUAUUCCAAAGGAAACGAAGUACAGAACUGCCUUUACAUCUUGUUCUCGACAGAAAUUUACAAGGAUUUAACAACUAGGUAGCUAGAAGAAUGCCUGCGCUCUUUCCUCUACGUAAUUUCAUUAGCCCUAGGAGUAUGAUACUACGGAGUAUAGAGAUCACUAGAAAUAUGGAAAUUAAUUGAAAAAAAAAACCGAAACUCUGUUUUUCCUAAACUGUUUCUUUUCCACUUAGCUGUAUCAAUCCUCGUAAAUAUUUCCAUCAUCUACAAACAUAUGAACGCGACAAAGGGCCAUUACGUCUGACGAGGAGCCCACUCAGGGCUGGAAAGAGAAGAUUGAGAAGAGAAUUUGGGAGCUGCUCCAAUGGACAAGGAGCAAUUACUCCAAGCCUGCCUUUUGGGGAAUGAUAUAUUCCUUGUACGGGAACAGGCGGAGGAACAAACACCUUGUAAGUUAUGCAGAGCACAGCCGCAAUUCCGAUGGUAUGGCCUCCGCUCUAUCUCUAUUUCGUAAAUUGCUAGGCUUCCUUCAACGACACAUCGGAGCAUCGUCUUAGCUGCUCCAAUGGCCAUUUUCUCUCUCUCUCUCUCCCUCUAUCUCCUUCCCUCUUAAGUAAGGGUCUCUUCUCUUGUCUCUCUUUAAGUGCUUAUGUGUGAACGUGUUAAAGAGUGUUGCAUGCUUUUACAAGUGUUUAUAUAGAGCAAGGAAUAGGAGUUAGGUGGGCGUCAAAGAUGGAAUAUUAUGUAGAGAGAACAAUUUUGUUUUAGUUCUCCACGUUGAGUUCUAGAUGACUUUGUUCUUGAAAAAUUGGUUCUUGCUGCGGUAGUUUUCUAACUAAGACAAUCGUUCUUGUCAAGGGAAGAUUCAAUCCCCAUUGGAAAACAAAUUUUGGCGACAAAAAAGAGACGGAAGAUACUGGAGUGGUAGGGAAUCUAUGAGGACUUUGGAGAAAUCAGUGGCUUGGCUUAAUCUGCUUGGUUAAGUUUGCAAUGGCUUGUUUUUGGAAUUUUUAGUAGAAGUAGGGGAGGUUUUCUCAUUGUUUUUGCCGAAAGACACCCUUUUUUGACUAGCUAAUUGUUUGAAACUCUGAUGGAUCUUUUAACGGUCUCAAAUUUUCUGUUUACGACGUGGCGGUAAUUUCCUAUGCGACAAAGUAUCCAAUUUUCUCGACUUGAGCUAUAUUUAGCUACCAAUAAAAGCCAAAUAGAAUCGGUCUAAUUUGGCUUCUGUUUUCUGACUGUUACCUUUGCCCUUUAGAUCUCAUCCUCCAUUUCCAUGGUACGAGCAACCGGUAUGAGGAAACUAGUCUAACAUACGACCACUAAUUAAUUAUCUUUUCUUUAGCGGGGAGGGGUUGUGGAAACUUUUAAGUAUUAUAACAAUUCUCCAAUGUGUUCAUUUAAGUACAUACUAGUUACUACUUGUCACAAGUAAGGAUAAGCAAUUGGACAAUUUGAUCGAUUCAUUGGUUUGAUCCAUCAUGUUUAAAGAUCAAAUAAAUUAAAUAUUUUUAAAAAUUAGAUCAAACUUGGUCAAAUAUAUAAAAAAAAUAAAUCGAUCAAAUAUUGAAUUGAUUCGAUCGAUUCGAUUUUAGACCAAAAUGAUUAAAAUUUUAUAUUUUUUAUAAAUUAUAAUAUUAAAAUUUAUAAAUUUCAUUCAUUAUUAUAAAACAUAGAAUGAAAAAAUAUAUUUAUAAUAAUUUUAAAAUAAUAUAUAUAAAAUAGUAUUAAUAUAUAAAAUUAGUUUGGUCUUUUGGUUGAUUUGGUCUAAAAAUUUUAAAAUUAAGAAUCGAUCAAAUAAAUCAAUUAAAUCAAAUUUUUUGGACCAAUAAACCCAAUAAACCAAUUAGAUCAAAUUAUUGUACUCAUAUUACAUUUGAUUCGAUUAAAUCAUUAAUCUGAUCCAAUUUUACUCACCUCUAAUUCUAAGUUACCUACUUGCUUCCACACCUACCAUUGAUCCUUUGCUUGGUUUUUUUUUUUUUAAUAGCAUUUUUUUUUAUAUUUUGCCUGGUUUGAUUCAGGCAAAACAAGUGCUUCUGGUUCCCUUGCUUGUGCCAGCUGAUCUGAUACUAUUUUCCUAAUUCAUAAUAUUUUAAUUGAUUUAAAAUUCACCUUUUUUUUCUUUUUCUUUUUUCUCUCUCCAAUCCAUUCAACUAUUCAUGAGAUUAUAAGAGGAAAUUUAUUAAAGAAAAUUGUGAAAAAUAACCCUCUUUAUAAGUCCAAUUUAAAAAUAUUCUUUAUUAUAAAUUUAAUUAUUUUUAGUUAAUUUUUGACAUAACUUGACAAUAAUACCUUUUAAAUAAUUUCAAAUAAAUUAAAAUGGUUUUGGUUUUUUUUAUUCCACCAUCCAGACAAAAAUUUCAAAAUUGAAUCAUGAUUUCUCUCUCUUACCAAAUACUAUUUAUCUUAUCAUCUAGUUCUUUCUCGCCAUCCCAAAGAGUAGAGAUGACAUCAAGAUAUAUAUUUUAGAUUCUUAGAUUUAUUGGUUUAUUCAUAGAACCUCAAAGUUGAUGUGUUGAAAUUGAUUAGAUAUAUUUGUAAAUUAAAACACUGUAUAACUUUGAUAACUUAAACUUGACUCCGAGCAGGCAAAUCAAUUAAUUAUUAGGUUUUGCAUUACUGAUUUUUAAGUAUUGUGUCACUGAUUUUAGGUAUUGCGAGACUAAUUUUAAGAUAUUAUGUGACUUAAUCAUUACGUCUCUAGUUUUUGGGCAUUGUGUGUCUAAUUUUUAAAUAUUGCAUAACUGAUUUUUAGGCAAUGCCUAAGUCACACAAUGCCUUACUAACUAGUCACACAAUUUCAUAUCAACCAAUCAUGCAAUACCUAAAAAUCAGUUAUACAAUACUUAAAAAUCAAUCAUGCAAUGCCUAAAAACCACUAAAACUACUGAAUUUUAUUUAAUAAAAUCAACAAUUUCAAAUAAUACACCAUAUUCUAUUUAACAACAUAAUCAACGAAUAUGCCUACUUAACGAAGAAUGCUCAAAAUGUUCAAAAUACUCAAAAAUUUUUCAUCAUGUAUCAAAAACCACUCUAAAAUGCUUAAAACACUCAAAGGUUUUUGUUCGUAUAUAAAAAAUUACUCAAAAAUACUCAAAAUGCUUAAAAAUUUUUCUUUCUGGCAAUAAACACUCCAGAGAUGAAUAGUCUGGCAAAGAAAGCUCAAAGGAUAUGAGUCGGUUUGAGAUGCGAAUUUAAACAUAUGUGUCGGUUUCAUUAAAGGUAAUUUUGUCCAAAAUUUAUUUUUUUAACUAAAACUAGUUAAAAUUAUAAAAAAGAUUAUUUUUAAAAACACCUUAUAUAUGAAAGGUAUUUUUGAAAAGAACUCAAUUUAUGAUUUUUUAGUCUUUUUCAUUUCCCUACUCUGUACCGAACCCAUAGUUCUGAAAUGAUAGAGAAUAGUAUUUUCUAACCCACCUCAAUCAGCAAGUGCUAAUUAAUUCUUAAGAUUACAAGCUAUCACAUUCGAAUUUUGAAUAAUUGGACCAUGCAAACUCUGAUAUAAAUAGUCAACCAUCAUAAUUAAAAACUUAAACCCUUAUAAUUAUACCAAUAUGACAUCUCCUAAGACCACUAAAUGAAGGGCAUUAGAAGCCAAUCAAGCCUUGUUCUAAUAAUCAAAUUAACCACAACUGCUGUUUAUAUGCUUAUAUAUGUUACUCCUAAAUGCCCUCGCUAUAGUAGUUCUCUUCUCUGCUGAUAAUGUCUUUACACUUUGCAUACAACAUUUUUGUACGUCUUUCCGCACACGCACAACGACAAUACUAAGAAAGAUGUCAACCACGUCACAAGAUUUUGAAUGGUCUUUUCUUUUAUUCUUUCAUUAUGCAACUUUGGCAAUUAUUCCAUGGAAAGAGAUAAGAACAAUGGCUGACGACCAGAGUGAUUUUCUUUCUUAGUGUUGCAAACAAAGAUCAAUAUUAUUGAACCUCUUUAUGUGAUAUUCAUCCCACUUGGAAUGUUAAUGUGAUUACGCAAGCCAACCGUACAUCAUGAGAAUUUAAAUAAUUUGCAAUUCUGCCAGGCAUUACACUUAGUUUGCAAGUAAGAUUCUAGGAGUAUAUAUAAAGGGAACAAUUGUUUCUGCGAAAGCAACUUCAUGCUUUGAUGAAGUUGUAUCGUAUCAGUCCCCAAGAAAAUGACCGCUAUAGCGACUUUUCUUCCCAAUGACAAAAUUGCAUUUCUUUGAAAAUUGUAUUUACAGUAUUGUAAAAUCACUAUAUUUGUACCAAUAUAAAAAAGUUAUUAAGCAAAUAAAAUAUUGACUAAAUAUAUUAAGAAUUGUUAGAUUUUUUUUUUAAAAAGCAUAUUUAUUAGUCUCGAGAACCAGGAUGUCAUUUUAAAUCUCUUGCUGAAAUAACAAGAAACUUCUCAUGACAUAAAAACAUGGUAUGAGUAUAAAAUAUCUGUACAAUUACAAAAGACAAUUACCGCUUAAAAAGCUAGUGACGGUUUAACUCGAGUUGUUGGAUUAACUACAUAAGAUAUUUAAUUUUGACAACUUUUUAUUGCUCUCAGCCAACUCUAUUUUCCCGAGAGCAAGCUACAUAAUUUGAUGCAAGUGCUAAUUGGUAACGAAAUUAAUUCGACCAGAUAUAUAGAAUGAUCAUAGUUUUCGUUCGACUUCAAAUUUUUCUACGUUUUCGCUCUCUGUUUCUUCCGGUACGUAGAGAAAAUCUUUGAUUCCGUAGCACUUAAAGUCCAACAUAGUUACUUCAAAAAAAAAAAAAAAGAAGUCCAACAUUGUACUCAUAUAGUAUUACUACGUAUGGUCAACAGCUAUUUUUUUAACCUUUUAAUUUCUUUGUUCAACUCGUUAACGAAACUAACCAAUGCAAAAUACGCAGUAGUAGGACAAAAUUAAUGAGAAGUCCAAUCCUCGAUGAUGUUAAGGAUUUCCGGCUCUAAAAUUGGCCGAUGUCUAGUCUUUCUUACAAAGAAAGAAAGCAACUCCCAGCUGUCAUCUUUGACAGAAACCGAGGAAAACAUCCUGUACUUCCCAGACACUACUGGAUCUCACUUUUUGUUCAUGAUUGAAAGUACGUAAACAACCCAGGUUCCCAUUGUGUUCUCCUAACACUAACGCUGCUCUUAGUAGCUCAUUCUGCUUUCUUUAGGCUACAUAUUCUCUUGUAGGCCAGUUAAAUGAUUCUACUGUCUUUACGGUAAGCAGUCUAGAAAAUAGAAAGGAUUCUGGAAGAAAUGUGGAACAUUUUAAUUUCUCUGUCCUUUAACUCGGAAAAAAAGAACCUAAAUUUGAUCCCACUGAGACAAUGCCUAAAAAGUAAGCAUAAUUUGAUUGUAAGAGGGCUGCUCUGUUUCAAAGUUAAUGCUCCAUUCAAGUUGUCCUUCAUUGAGUAUAAAAAGGAGGAAGAGGAAAACAAAUUAAUCAUUUCAGCUUGGUUUAAUGUUAUAGUGGAUGGCACUAUAUCACUAUUGAAAUUAAGAAACAAGAAAGAGUUGGAAACAUAACUUUACAUUGAACUAUGCAGAAUUUACAUGCAUGUAAUUUAGCUAGAAGAACCCUGUACGCUUUUUUCCUUGUAUUGACCUAAGAGACUACAAAUCUAAAGGCAGAAUGAAAAAAAAAAAAAUAAAGAUCUCGAUUUCCUAACCUGUUUUUCUAUACUUUUAACUGUAUUGAGCUUCUGACGUAUUUUGUCAUCUUGGCUAGCUAGUGGAGGGAGGUGUGUGUGUGUGUGUGUGAAGUGUAUAAUUUGUCUGAGGCUUUUGCUGAUUUCCAUGAUCUCUGAAGUGUGUUUAUAUAGAGCAAGUGUUUAGUCUUAGAUGGAUCUAGAGAGAAAAACCUUGCAUUAGGGACUAGUUAUUCCUCGUUGAAUUCUAGAGAAUCAACUUUGUUCUCGAGAAUUCUUGUUGAAGUACUACUUCUGCAACUGUCCAACUAAGACAAACGUGUUUCUCUGGGAGAAAGUUUCAGUUAGUUUCUCAAAGUGAAUCCGAAUAACUAUGCUGCCAAAGAGAAACGGGAAGAGAGAGAGAGAGAGAACCUCUUGGUAACUAGGGAAAGAAGUGACUUGGCUUGGUUGGAUUUGCAAGAAAUUGUUUUGGAACUUGUUGGAUGAAGUUGGGGUUCCCUUAUGGUGUUUUUUUAUCAUAAGUUAAUUCAGUAGCUCAUUAAAAACUAAUUAGAAUUGAUUCUUGAAGCUAGCUUAACGGUCUUUAUUGUUUUUUCAGGAAGCGGGCGAUCUACUCCAAGGAACAACCUCUCCAAUUCUCGUGAUGUGGGUUUUUUUUGCAUUGUCAUUUUUCGUGAAGGGCAAAUCCAAGUUUUCAGUUUCGUUGUUUCUAACAUUUUUUUUCUUUUUUGUACUUUGCCCUCAUAACUUUAUUUUUCUGGUACUUAAUUACCUCAUAACUUUAUAAAGGGAUCUUUGUUAUGGUAGCUAGAGGAACAAAAAAAAAAAAUCAACAAAUUAAGGUGUUUCCAUGGAUUUAGAGUUGCUAUAUUCCAUUUUCAUAUAUUUUCCCCCUUAAAAGUUGAAUUGCAUCCCUGUUUUCUAUUCUUUUCUUUGUUGAUAUACUUCAAAUGAAGGUAUGAGGAUAAAUAUGUGAUGGAAGAAACAAAUCUUCUAAUGUCCUUGGGCUAAAUCUAAUCCAUGAUUCAUUUACAACUUGAGCUCGUUUGAGCAAAAGCACGAGAAGAAAUGAAUGUAGAAUACUAUGUUAAGAAUCUCUCUAACAUUGACUAGCAUGAUCUACUUAAUUGGGAAAUAAUUAAAGUACUUGUUUUUAAUUAUAUAAUCUAGUUUAGAAUUAAUUUGAUUUUUUUCUUUUAAAUUAAUUGUAUCAUGUUGUUUUCAUGAAAAAAGACGGUUAUAUUGUCCUUUUAUGCAGAUAACAAAUUUAUUAAUUAACCUUGUAAAACUGUUGUCAAAAAAUAAUAAAAUUUGACAUAACGAUGACAAUAUUUCUCGAAAAAUAAUAGUCAGUUGAGAUUAUUAUUUCAUAUAAUAUCAAAUCAUUUUCUCAUUCAUAGUUUUUAGAGAAGAAAAAAAGGAGAAAUUCUUUGGUGAUCUUGACAUUUAUUUUUCACAAUAUCCAAAUGAUCUGCAAGAACCUAAAUCACCCCUUUGCUGUUAGAUAUAUUAGAAUGUGGCCCUCAUCAUGUUGGGGUAAACUAUUCUCUUUUAAAUUUUAGUAAACUCGUUCGGAAAAAAGACAUUUUAAUUUGAUUCACUCAUGAGUCAUGAUUUUUCCUUUUCAAACUUUGACAUAAAUCUAAAAAUCCAAAUUUGAAAACAUGGCGUUUCUUUAGGCUUACACAUAACAAAAUGAAAAAGUCCUUUUGAAGUUUCCUUUUAAGUAUGUAAUAGAUAAUUUGAUGCAAAUUCUUAAAAUUUAGAUUAGUUCUUCCAAAUUGUUUGCUGAUGGCUGAUAAUGAGGGCGAAGGUAUGCCUUUGUUCCAUAUAUCCAAGUAGCAGCCAUCCGAACAUCAAUUUCCGGUAAAAAUGGUUAAUAGUUUUAACUUAUUUUCUGUUACCCAAUUUGAUAUCGGACCAGGCCAGUGUUGCCUUAUAGGACAGACCGAGAACUCAUAUGUAUCAUCGAUGGCAUUCAUCACUUGACCAUAUUCCAAGGAAUAUCAAAAUCUAUUAUUAUAUGUGGACGUGUCUAGUCUCCACUGAGGAAAGAACAAAAUUUGGUGAUCUAAGUUACUGUUCUCUUUCGUAGCGAAAAGAAGAAAUGCAUUCCAAUUAAAAUCCCCUGCAUAUAACCUUGAUAUGUAGAUGAAGUUAUAGUCUCCAAGGAAACAAGAGAAAGAAGAAAAUUGAUAAUUACAUUAGACUUUGCAAAAUUUACAGGGAUGCUUAAUUUUCAGAAGAAAAUUUUAGAUAACUUCAUUAUCUUUAAGGAGUAAUAGAGACAAUAAAUAUGGGAAGAAAAACAUAUAAAAAAAUAGAAGAAAGUUGUCACCUCCAAACCUGUUUCUUUAAUUAUUUAAUUACAUCAAAAUCUCUGAAAACAUUUCAUUAUCAGUGUUUUCGAAGCCUUAUUCACAACUUUCCGGCUACUGACUGCAUGGAGGGACUAGGACGAGAAGAUGAAGCUGCAACAUACAAAGAGCAAUCACCCUAGUGCUGUUUCUUGGAGAAUGACAUAAUAUACAGAAGCCCCUCUCUCUUCACCUCUUUAAAAUGAUACACCGUAGAAUUCAAGAGAACUUUGUUCUUGAGGAUUCUUGUUGCAAUAGUUGCGUAACAAAUUAAGUCAAACGUGUUCCUCAAUGGGAGUUUCAGUACUGUGCUUAAGUAAUAUUCUUAGGAAUUAGGGGAAAGAAUUGAGCACUGGCUAGGUUCGCAAUGCCUUAAACUUAUUUUUGGAACUUAAUAUUACAAGAAGUGUGGAUGUUGUCGUCGUCACAAAGUCGGUAGAAACUUAAAAUAAUAGAUCUCCCCGUAUCGUCUGUUUCUCUCAAGGCAUUUUCUGAGGCAGGCGAUAUUUGCUAAGCAAAAAGCAUCCAGUUCUUGUACGAGUCUAUAGCGGAUUAUAGAAAGCGAGAGGUGUUUAACUGAUUAAAAACAAAAAUUAAAUUUUUCCAACGGAAUAUUACAUCAAUAAGCCCUUAAACUCAUAGGGCCAGCCGUCAAAUUAAGGACACUUGGAAGCUGCAAGAAUUAUAGUCCUAAGUCCAACAAUGAACUAUAUCAAAUCUACAUGAAGAAUUGAUUAGAAUCUAUGAUGCGAACCACGGUUUUGAUCACUUGAUUUGACUCUCAAAGUCCACUGGCUUUCCUUAUGAUCCUUCUUUGUACUAGGCAAAUUUGGCAAUUAAUAUUUAUUAAAAAAAGGUAGAGAACAAAAGGUGAUCAAAAUGUUAUUGGGAUCCUAGUGAUGAACAGAGUAUUUCUUUCUAAUUAGAACUAAAUUUUACUCUCUUUUUGGGGGUUCAAACUGCUUUUAUUCAAGUCGUCUCACACCAUUUUGUCCAAAAAUGUGCUUGGUCUUCCAUUCUUGCCAACGGCAAAGCAUGCCUUUUAUAAGUGUAUUAUAGGAUUGUGAUAUUAUAUGGCUAUGCCGCAAUUAGAAAGUAAGCAAAUAAAUGACAAACAGUUUUAGAAGUAUUCAAUGCAUUGUAAUAUGUCGCAUUGACAUUUCAUCUUGCAACAUUUUAUAAUGAUGUUAUAUUUACAAAUAAAAAAUUAUAAUCACAAUCAAAUGACAUUUUAUCUAUGAAAAAAUAAUAAUUAAAUCAUAUAAAAUUAACAUAGAAUUUCAUUAAAUUCACAUUCGAUUGGAUAAAUCUUAUUGGCUUAUCUUGGCAACUCUUUUGAGGUCUACUACUGAGCUGUGUAAAUGCAAUAAUAAGUCACAUAAUUUGAUGCACGUUUUUAGUAACCAAAUUAAUUCCACCUUAUGCAAAAUGAUCAAGCUUUUAUUCCACUUUGAUUUUUUUUUCUCCUUGGGGUGUAAGAGCACUGUUUUUGUCCUUUGAUUUUCUUCUGGGGUAAAGUGAUGAGCAAGAAUAUUCGGUUCCAUAGAACUCAAGCUCACCUAUCAAAUCAUGGUGAAGAUCUUUCUAACCUUUUCUCUGUCCAACUUGUUACUGAAGCUGACUAAUGCAGACUAUAGAGGACAAAAUUAAUUAAAAUUCAUACCAUCUAUAAUAUUUAGGGCUUUGCCAUUCUACAAUUGGCAAACGUAAAAAUAGAGACAAAUGACCCUUUUAAUUUAUGAUAUGCUAGUCCAAAUUCUGUGCAGAGAGACUUAAUACGGGCAGUUUACUUGAUGAUUAGGACAGAUAACAUCUUAAGCCAACAACUUCAAGGCUGAAUUGAAAUGUAUGGUUAAAGCAUGACUAACAGGCAAUAGCCUAAUGAUAAUUAGAAGAGAAAAUGAAAAUGACAGUUUACACAGGAAAAUUGGAGUCUGUUUAUCUAGAAGGAUGUGGCUCAAUGAGGGAUUCCUGUGCUGAAUCUCAACCUGGGGAAACACCGGUUUAAUAAUUGCUUGUUUGCUUUUCUUAGGUAAAACAAAUGGUCCCCCAAAAUUGUUAGCUGGAAAAUAAGGAAAGGAGCAUGAAUUGGUAUCAUAUAUGAUGUUCAUGUGCAGUUACAAAAUUCUCAAAGAGAAAAAUGCAAGACUUUACAGGGGUAGUUUAGCUAGAAAACCCCUGUACUCUUUUUUCCAAGUGUUGGAGACUAUAAAUCUGAAAACAGAUUGAAAAAGAAAAACUUCUCCAUUUCCUAACUUGUCUUUGUAUACUAACUGUAUUGAGCUUCUGACAUGUUUUGUCAUCUUGGCUAGUGUUUGUUACAUACAAAGAACCACUCAUGUGAUUAACCACCUAAUUAAAUUUAUUUUUAAUAAUAAAAUUUUAAUUUUAACAUAAGUUUAUUAAAAAUGAUAGAUUACAAUUUAUAAAACAGAUAAUCAUAUAUUAUAUGUUUUUAACUUCUUUUUUUUUUUUGAAAAGCUAUCUGUUUUUAACCUUGAUGAAUAAUUCUUAAUUGUCAUACUUACUUUAAUUUCACUUAGUUAUUAUUUAUUCUGUUCUCUUUUUUAAUAAGUUUAUUAUUUAAAUAUUAGAAGAUUUUCAAAGGUCUUUCAAAAUAUUUUUUGUGGGAUGGUCCUAAAAAAUUCUCUCCACUUCAAGAAUACUCAAGAAAGUUAUUUGCUCUCUAGAGGAGAUUUCAUUAUCGAAUUUAUCAAAGUCUAUUUGGCGUUUUGUAUCCUGUUGAUGUUGAUUUAUCUUCUAUUCUCAUGAUUUGCCUAUGAAUUGAAAGAAGUUACUUUUGCUAAAGCCAGAUUACAAUUGCUCUUAGUUUCACCAUGUCUAAUUGCUCCAUUCAAUUACUUUGUACACACAAAAAACAAACAUAACUUCAAUAGAGUGCAGUCACAUUAUUUGUCAAGAAAAAGACAGCUACACUGUCAUUUUCAGCAAACCAUGAACUUAUUUCUCACUUGACAGUCUUAAAAAAUAAGAAGGAAAUGUUUGAGUUGCAAUUUGUCUUCCAUUUUGUGCAUUUGAGUGCAAACUUGUCAGUUUUAGUUGAUAUUUUUACUGGAAUUUCAGAAUCAACUUCAGUUCAAGUACUUGCCAGUGGCUUUACCAUAUAUGUUGCACAUUUUUCUUUUGUUGAUCUGCAUGAAGGUAUGAAUCACUGGCUUGCCGUUGUCCAUCUGAACUAGAAUAUAGAACUUAGGUGAUCUAAAUUCUAAUUCAUGUUUUUAGCAAUCUGAUGACUAAUUCUACUGGAAAACCACUUUUUUCAAUUCAGUUUAUCCUUUCAAAAAAAUGGUUCUGGCACAGGAGAAUUGGCUAAUUGGUCAUUGACAAAUAUAUCUCCACAGUUAGGGGCCUGCAUAUUGUUUCAUGUUAACCUAAUACUACUUAAACCUCUUCUUUAUUCUCUUUGUUUGCACGACUAGCCAGCAUAAUUUAUAUUUCUACCCAACAAAUUAGGACUCAUAAAACCGAUUAUAUUAAGGACUAAAUUAACAUCGGGUUAAGCCAUUGCGUCUACUAAGAUAUAAAUCCCCAUCAUUCUGGUCUGCACUGAGAAAACAACAAAAUUGUGGUGAUAUACAAAUCCUUGAGAACCUUGACGGUAGAAUACAACAAUUCAAGAUUCUUACUUGCCAUGUUUAGCCAUUGCACUCAGUUUUUACUUCCUGAUAUCUUAACCUGAAUCGGCUCUGACAUUUACAAUUUCAGCAUGUUCUGCUGCACAUAGCUUUGAGUCCUUGACCAAAUUCUGCUCUUAGCUUGCCAUAGACAAUCCAGGAAAUGAAAGGCAUGUUGGAAGAAAUGUGGAAAGUCGUUUCUUCCCUGUUUUUGAAUUCAAGUAAAUUUUGUAGAGGAAAAUAAAAAAGAUGUAAACAUAGUGGCAAAUCCACCCUUUGAAUCCAAUCCUUGGGAUACCUCUCAGGGCCCAGCAACUCCUAAAUCCAGAAGAGGACUCAGUACCGGAUGCUUACUUUCUUGUUCAAGAUAUAUAAUGAUGUUAUAAAUUGGUGCUAAAGCUAUAGGAAAUGUUUAUAAUAUUGGUAGUAAUGGGAAGACAAAAUAAAAGGUGUUACAAAGGAACAUCGAAGCAUUUCACGUGUGGUUAUAUAUAUAUGAAUGAUCACACUCUGUAUAAUUUUCAAAAUUGACCUAAACGCGAAAGAUUCUAUUGAUCCGUCUGAAUUCCAAUUCAAUACAAAUUCGAUUUGAUUGAAAAAAGUCGACAAUCCAAACUCAUCUAAAGGUCUGAUUGUUUUAAUAUAAAUUCUUUUUGGAAAAAUAUUUCCAGAAUAUAAUGUUGUUUGGAUGAUUGAUAAAGAGAUUCAAAUGGAAAAAAUUUUAAGGGUCAAUGGGAAAAAGACCCAUUGAUCCCGUAAAUUGGCUUGAUUUAUGUCUGCAAUCUACUUUCAUCAGGUGAGAGUUCAAUCUCGCACCAAAAUUUUUUAUGUUGAAAUGGUGUUAAAAUGGGUCAGGCGUGUACUAUUUUUUAAGAUAGAAAUUUUUUUUGAAGAUUAAUGAUCAUGAAAAAUAUUUUCUAUAAGUUUAUCUAAAUAAUAAAAUUUUUUUUUACAAUUGAUCUAAAUAACAAAAAUAUAAAAUUUUUCAUAAAAAUAUUUUACAUAGAAAAACUUUUCGUAUCCAAACUCAAAAUAACUUGAACACGAACUCAAAUAACCUUGGGAGCACCAGUGGAUGCUCCCCUUUCUCGUGGGACCGGUGCUCUCCUCUGUCCCAUUUUUUUAUUUUUUUAAAAUAUAAGAAUAAUUUUUUAAAUUAAUAAAGAGAAAAAUGGUAUUUUAAUUUUCUCAUAAUCUUUGUUAACGGUAUUUAUACUUUUGGAGUAAAGUGUCCAUUUCAAAAACUAAUGGAUCUGCUUAAAAUUUCGAUUAAAACUUCGAAAUAUAAAAGAAUUUUACCUUUUUAUUAUUUGUAUAUGUAUACUCUUUUAAUUUUGGCUUGAUUUAUAUAUGUAAUUUACUUUCUUUUUGUGAGAGUUCGAUCUCGUAUUAAAAUUUUUGGCAUUGAAAUGGUGUUGAAAUGGGUCAGGCAUGCAUUAUUUUUUAAGAUAGAAUUUUUUUUGAAAAUUAAUGAUAAUGAAAAAUAUUUUCUAUAAAUUGAUCCAAACAAUUAAAAAUAUUUUUUACAAUUUAUCCAAAUAAAAAAACAUAUAAAAUUUUUCAUUAAAACGGUGAAUUCUACAAUAGGGCUAACCUUACUGUAAGGUUAAUUAAAAUAAUUUUUAAGAAAAUAAUAAAAAUUUACUUAACAGGUAAACAACAUAAAUAAUUUUUUAACUUAUCCAUUUUCUAUUAACAAAAUAGAAAAUUUUUAAACUAGUUUAUUUUAUUUUAAAUAAUAUAUAAUUUUAUUUUUAUUAUAUUUUUUACUUUAAAAUAUAAAAACAUUAUUAUUUUUAUACUAACAUUAUAUCUAACUAAUUUAAUUAAAUUAAAAUUAUUAUUAUGACUUAUUACAUUAAACAUCACACAUAUAUGUCAAUAUUUUGAAUAUUCCUUAACUACCUUUAUAAUGUUUUACGUUAAUUCUUAUCACUUUAUGUCAAAGUUUUUCAACAACUAAAUUUUACCAUAAUUCUAUUUAUCCUUACUAUUAUUUACGCAUAAGUUAACAUUUGUAAGCUGUAAAUCACUUUAAACUUAAGAAUAAAAAUUUAACUGUUUAAUUUCUCAAAAAUUAUGUUUAUUUGACAUAAUUGACUUGUUACAUUAAAUCUCACAUAUUUACGUCAAUAUUUUGAACAUGCUUGUAUCACCUUUAUAAUAUUUUACGUUAAUUCUUAUCGUUUUAUGACAAAGCUUUUUAAAUACUAAUUUUCAUCAUAAUUUUUUUUAUCUUUACUAUUAUUCACGUAUAAAUUAAAAUUUGUAAGCCGUAAAACACUUUAAACUAAAGAAAAUAAUUUUAAUGUUUAAUUUUUUCAAAAAUUAUGUUUAUUUGAUAUAAUUGACUUAUUAUGUUAUAACUCAUACAUUUAUGUCAAUAUUUUGACAAUUUUUAAUCUAACUUCAUAAUGUUUUACGUUAAUUCUUACCACUUUAUGUUAAGGUUUUUCAACUACUGAUUUUUUCAUAAUUCUUUUUAUCCUAACUAUUAUUCGCGCAUAGAUAAAAAUUUGUAAGCCGUAAAACAUUUUAAACUCGAGAAUAACAAUUUAAAUGUUUAAUUUCACCAAAAAUUAUGUUUAACUAACAUAAUUGACAUGGUAUAUUAAAUCUCAUAUAUUUACGUCAAUAUUUUGACAAUACUUAUUCCACCAUUAUAAUAUUUUACGUUAAUUAUUACCACUUUAUGUUAAGGUUUUUCAACUACUAAAUUUCAACAUAAUUCUUUUAAUCUUUACUAUUUUUCACGCAUAUAUUAAAAUUUAUAAGCUGUAAAACACUUUAAAAUUGAAAAUAAAAAUUAAAUGUUUAAUUCUUCCAAAAAAUUUUCUUAUUUAACAUAAUUAACUUAUUACGUUAAAUCUCACACAUUUACGUCAAUAUUUUGACAAUUCUUAUUUCACCUUUAUAAUAUUUUACGUAAUUUUUAUGGCUUUACGUCAUGACUUUUCAACUAUGAAUUAUCACCAUAAUUCUUUAUAUCCUUACUAUUAUUCUUGUAUAGAUUAAAACUUGAAAGUCAUAAAAAGUUAAAUGUUUAAUUUUUCAAAAAAUUAUAUUUAUUUGACAUAAUUGACUUGUUAUGUUAAAUCUCACACAUUAUACGUCAAUAUGUUCACAAUGCUUGUUCCAGCUUUAUAAUAUUUUACAUUAAUUCUUACGGCUUUACGUAAUAACUUUUCAACUACAAAUUUUCGCCAUAAUUCUUUAUAUCUUUACUAUUAUUCUUACAUAGAUUAAAAUUUAUAAGCCGUAAAACAUUUUAAACUCAAAAAUAAAAAUUUAAAUGUUUAAUUUUCUCAAAAAUUAUUUUUAUUUGACAUAAUUAACUUGUUACGUUAAAUUUCACAUAUUUACAUCAAUAUUUUGACAAUGCUUGUUCUAACUUUAUAAUGUUUUACUUUUAUUUUUACGGCUUUACAUCAAGAUUUUUCAAAUACUAAUUUUCACCAUAACUCUUUUUAUCCUUACUAUUAUUUACACAUGGAAUAAAAUUUGUCAACAAUAAAACACUUUAAACUUGAGAAUAAAGAUUUAAAUGUUUAAUUUUUUAGAAAAUUAUGUUUAUUUGAUAUAAUUGAAUUAUUAUGUUAAAUCUCAUACAUUUAUAUUAGUAUUUUGACAAUGCUUGUUCUAUCUUUAUAAUGUGUUACGUUAACUUUUAUCACUUAACGUCAAGGUUUUUCAACUACUAAAUUUCAUCAUAAUUCUUUUUAUCUUUACUGUACUCAUGCAUAGAUUAAAAUUUAUAAGCUAUAAAACACUUUAAACUCGAUAAUAACAAUUUAAAUGUUUAAUUUCUCCAAAAAUUAUAUUUAUUUGACAUAAUUGACUUGUUACGUUAAAUCUCACACAUUUAUAUCAAUAUUUUGGCAAUGUUUGCUCUAACUUUAUAAUGUUUUAUGUUAAUUCUUACCACUUUACGUCAAGAUUUUUCAACUAUUAAUUUUCACUAUAAUUCUUUUUAUCCUUUUUUAUUAUUCACGUAUAGAUUAAAGUUUGUAAACUAUAAAACACUUUAAAUUUCGAGAAUAACAAUUUCAAUGUUUAAUGUCUCCGAAAACUAUAUUUAUUUAAUAUAAUUGACUUGUUACGUUUAAUCUCACACAUUUACGUCGAUAUUUUAACAAUGCUUGUUCCAGUGUAUAAUGUUUUACAUUAAUUCUUACAACUUUACAUCAAGGUUUUUCAACUAAUAAUUUUUACCAUAAUUCUUUUUAUCUUACUAUUAUUCAUGUAUAGAUUAAAAUUUAUAAGCCGUAAAAUACUUUAAACUGAAAAAUAACAAUUUAAACGUUUAAUUUUUAAAAAAAAUUAUGUUUAUUUGACAGAAUUAACUUGUUACGUUAAAUCUCACACAUUUACGUCAAUAUUUUAACAAAGUUUGUUCCACCUUUAUAAUGUUUUAUAUUAAUUAUUAUCACUUUAUGUCAAGGUUUUUCAACUACUAAAUUUCAACAUAAUUCUUCUUAUCUUUACUAUUAUUCAUACAUAGAUUAAAGUUUAUAAGCCAUAAAAUACUUUAAACCCAAGAAUAAAAAGUUAAAUGUUUAAUUUUUUUUGAAAAUUAUGUUUAUUUUACAUAAUUGACUUAUUACGUUAAAUCUCACACAUUUAUUACAAUACUUAGACAAUCUUUGUUCCACCUUUAUAACGUUUUACGUUAAUUUUUUCGACUUUACAUCAUAACUUUUCAACUAUUAAUUUUUACCAUAAUUAUUUAUAUCCUUACUAUUAUUCUUACUUAGAUUAAAAUUUGUAAGCCGUAAAACAGUUUAAACUCGAGAAUAAAAAGUUAAAUGUAUAAUUUUCUCAAAAAAUAUAUUUAUUUGAUAUAAUUGAUUUGUUGCAUUAUUCUCAUGCAUUUACGUUAAUACUUUGACAAUCCUUGUUCCACCUUUAUAAUGUUUUACGUUAAUUCUUAGGGCUUUACUUCAAGGUUUUUCAACUACUUAUUUUCACAAUAAUUCUUUUUGUCCUUACUAUUAUUCUUAUGUUAAUUAUGGUGAAAAUUAUUAGUUGAAAAGUCAUGAAGUAAAGUCGUAAAAAUUAACAUAAAAUAUUAUAAAAGUGGAACAAACAUUGUCAAAAUAUUAGCGUAAAUGUAUGAGAUUUAACAUAACACGUCAAUUAUGUUAAAUACACAUAAUUUUUGAGAAAAUUAAACAUUUAAAUUUUUAUUCUCGAGUUUAAAGUGUUUUAUAACUUAUAAAUUUUGAUCUAUAAGUGAAAAAAAUUAAGGAUAGAAAAAAUUAUGGUGAAAUUUAGUAGUUGAAAACCUUUGACUUAAAGUGGUAAGAAUUAACAUAAAACAUUUUAAAAGUGAAACUUGUAUUGUCAAAAUAUUGACAUAAAUGUGUAAGAUUUACUGUAACCGAUCAAUUAUGUCAAAUAAAUAUAAUUUUUAAGAAAAUUAAACAUUUAAAUUUUUAUUCUUGAGUUUAAAGUGUUCUAUUACUUAGAAAUUUUAAUCUAUACAAGAAUAAUAAUAAGGAUAAAAAGAAUUAUAAUGAAAAUACGUAGUUUAAAAGUCAUGACGUAAAACAGUAAGAAUUAACGUAAAAUAUUGUAAAGAUAGAACAAAUAUUGUCAAAAUAUUGACGUAAAUGUGUGAGAUUGAACGUAAAAAAUUAAUUAUGUGAAAUAAAUAUAAUUUUUUAAAAACUUAUGCAUUCAAAUUUCUAUUCACAAGUUUAUAAUGUUUUAUGGCUUACAAAAUUUAAUCUAUGUGUUAAUAAUAGUGAGGAUAAAAAGAUUUAUGGUGCAAUUUUGUAAAGUCUGACCUUAUAAAAUACUUGCCAUGACAUACAUGUGAUGGAUAGCAUGUUUGCAUUCUAGGAGAGUUCCGAAAAAUUUACAAAAGUCUGUAUUGUACCUAGAGGUACAACAAAGUUGAUUUAAACAUCAAACUAGAUCAAAUAGAGAUUUUAAGGUGAAAUUAAAAAUUUUACAGUCUAAGAAUGAUUUAAAAUGGUGAUUUGGAGUUCGAUGAUCAAUUUGGAGUUAAACCGAAAAUUUCACUAUCUAUGGGUAAAAUGGUAAUUUUACCACUCGAGGAUAAAAUGGAAAUUUUUUUGAAAGAUUUUGAUCACAUUUGACUUAUUGGAGUAUGAUCUGAGGUUGAGAAGUGAAAAAUUUUAAUUCUGACAUUUUUUCGGAGCAUAGGGGUAAAAUGAUAAUUUUGCCACCCUAGUGGCAAAAUUGUAAUUUUACACCACCGACACUUGUCCAACACAUGAAUUUUAUCUAAUAUUAUCAUGGAUAAUUGAAGGAAUUUAAGUGGUGGAGAGAGAAAGCUUAAUAGUUAAGAAAUUAUAAAUUGACCAAUAAUGUAGUGACAUGUGUCAAGUUUAUAACCAUUAUUUAUUUAGCUUUAAAAUAAGCAUAAAAUCAGCCUAUUUUGUUUCAUAUUGCUGGCCAAACCAAGAACAAAGAAGAGCAAAAGAAGAAAAGGAAGAGAACAAACCCUAGGUGGAAAAAUUCAAGAAAAAAGUGUGAAAAUUCAAGGAAACAAGUGAAAAAAAGGUAAAAUUUUUCAAUUUAGCUUGAGAUCUUUCUUUCCCAUGCAUUUCUCCUCAUUUUUCAUGGUUAAAUUAUAUGUUUUCAUGAUGAAUUCAUGGCUGGUCAUAAUGGGUAUGGAGAGAGAAUGAUGUUAGAUUGAUUUGAUUUCAAGUUAUGUUAGUGUUUUUAGUUAGUUUACCAUGUCUAAAAACAAAACAAUAAGAAAAGAAUCCAUUUUUUCUAUGAAUUUUCAUUGGCCGAAUCUUCCUUGAUGUGUGUGGGUGAUGGAUUGUUAUUAUUUCAAGAGAAAUGGCUUAGAAAAUGAUGAAUAAUGGUGAGAAAAUUAAGUAGAAAAAAUCACGAUGUUAAUGCACUAUUAGUGACCGAAAAUUUUAAGAAGAAAAGUAAAGAUGGUUUUGCCAAAUUUUAGGUUAUUUGACUUGUGUUUGGUGAAUUAAGGUAUUGAAAAAGAAAUGGAGCAAUUUGGAGCUAAAUUAGACACAUUGGCCAAUUAAUCGGGUGAUAAGACGAAUUAGGUCAAUACCGAGGAUUAGAUGGUUACCAGUGCAUUUUGCAUUCCAUAUCAUGCAUUAAUAGUCUAAAUUAGUUUAAUUUCGAUUUAGUACCAAAGUAGUAAGUUUUUCGAUUUUGUACUAUGUCAAGGUGGUGAGUCCUCUGAUAAAGGCAAGGAAAUUGCAUCCGAGGACCAGUAGUCAGAGUACUUUGAAAAUUCGCACUCUAGACAUUGUGAGUAACCUUACUAUCGUCUUAAUUAUCUAAAGUGAUUUUUAUCCGAUUUUGUGAAUUUUAUGAAAAAUGAAUUAAAUAAUUAAUUUUUUGGUUUUAUAAACCAAAUGUGAUUUAGUGAAAUGAUUUCAUAAAAUUGUUUUGGAAUUGAAUGAUGAUUUUGAAAAUAGAGUAAUUAGAGACUCCUGAUGUGUUGUAAAUUUAUGAUUUGAAUUGAUGGCUUAUGUUAAUGCGUUGGCAUGACUGGCUGGAUUAUGUUUUUGGUGAACUGUAUGAAUUGUUCUGUUUUACAUUUACAGGCUGGGUAGUAUAAUAUUAGUCACGUCAUGCUGUCAAAAUUUUAUUGUAUGGUAGGUAUUGCUUGCUGCAGUGGGCUGGGUUCUGUAGACUAGCCUAUUAGAGGGGCACGGAAUCCUAACAUAUUUUACCUUGAUUGGAGAGGCGAGUAGGGUAACUCCCGAGGUAGAACUUUUAGAGUUCACUUCACGCCAAAUCACCACGUGAAGGCGAACUCAGCCAACGUCAAGGAACGGCUAUAUUUUCUAAAUAAAAACAUGAUUUAUGAGUAUAUAACUUUUUAAUAGCCUUGGCGGACUCAGUUUGGGAUAGCCCUCGACCAAGGUAUCUCUGAUAACUGAGUAUGAUAAUAAUUUUUGGCAUGAGCCAAGUUUUAAGAAAUUCAUAAGCCAUGUUGAUUACUCGAUUUAAAUGAAUUGAAUUUUAUUUGGUUGAAAUGAGUUGAAAGAUGAUAAAUUAAAGUAUGAUGAUUUAUUUUAUCUGUCUCCAUUUACUCGACUUUAGAUAUUUUAUAUGGUAUUUGUUUACUCACUAGGAUUAUAUAAUCUCACCACCCUCCUUUCCACCCAUUUCAGGCUCAGAAUAGACUGUAGAUAGUUGAUCGCAUAGAGAACUACCAUUGGAAUUGCAUUUUCCAAACUGUAGGUUCACAGUCCUCUUUACUUUUGAAUAUUCGAGGGUCCCACUUGUUACUGUAAAUUAAAUUUCAUACUUUAGUUAUCUGUACUACUGUAUAUAGGAAUUUAUUUUAUUUUUAUGUUGUAAAAAAUUUAUUUACGCAGUGUUCUAAAAAUAUUGUUUUAAAAGAAAAUAGAAUAUUUUACUUAAUAUUUCUUUUAUUUUUCUAUUAUAUCCAAAUAAGCAUAAUUUCAUUUUAAAUGAAGAUUUUAGACUUUUAAACUCAUUUUGAUUAUGAAUUAUGUGUUUUGUACUUGUAUAUUACAUUUUAGCCAGUUUCGAAAUUUUUGAGAAAAAUAACCAAAAUACUCAUGUGAGACGAAAUUAUUAUUUUAUUUGUUUUAAGUUGGAAACAGUUUAAAAUCUUUUAGAACAUGGUAUUUGGCAAUAGUUACUCAGAACGAAAAUGAGAAGCUGAUAUUAAAGUCUUGAAGUGUUCCGGUUGACAUUCCAGGUAAUGAAUGUCGAUUGGGGUAUUACAGCGGUUGUCAUGGGCUCGAGGGAGAGUUUCGGAUCGUGACAAAUUUAGUUGAAAAACAUUGACGUAAAGUGGUAAGAAUUAAUAUAAAAUAUUAUAAAUGUGGACAAAGUAUUGUCAAAAUAUUAACAUACGUAUGUGAGAUUUAACGUAACAAGUCAAUUAUAUCAGAUAAACAUAAUUUUCAGAAAAAUUAAACAUUUAAAUUUUUAUUCUCAAGUUAAAAAUGUUUUACCACUUACAAAUUUUAAUCCAUGCAAGAAUAAUAGUAAGGAUAAAAAAAAAUUAUCGUGAAAAUAAGUAGUUGAAAAGUCAUAACGUAAAGCAAUAAAAAUUAACGUAAAACAUUAUAAAGGUGGAACAAGUAUUGUCAAAAUAUUGACGUAAAUAUAUGAGAUUUAACGUAAUAAAUCAAUUAUGUCAAAAUAAAUUUAAUUCUUGUUAAAAUUAAACAUUUAAUUUUUUUUUAUCAUUGAGCUAAAAGAGUUUGAUAGUUUAUAAAUUUUAAUUUAUAAAUGAAUAAUAAUAAAAAUAAUUAUAAUUAUAAUUAAAAUAUAAAAUUUAGAAUAAAAUUUUUAUUAUAAUAUUUAUUUAAAAAUUUCUCAAUAGUUAAUAAUUUUUUACUCAAGAAUAUAAUUAUAAAUGAUUAAUUUUCAUAAAAAUUUUGUUAAUCUCUUUGUUAGUUUUUUUGCUUUUAUUAAUAUUUUUGGUUAAUUAUUUCCUUUUUAUUAUCAUUUUAUUUUUUUAUUCUGGGUUAUUUAAGUUUUUUUUAACAUGUUUGUCAGGUAAACAAGUUGCAAUUUUUUUUAAAAGAAAUUGUGAGAAAUAACCCUCCUCAUAAGCCUAAUUAAAAAAUAUCUUUUAUUAUAAUUUUAACUAUUUUUAGCCAAUGUUUGGCAUGACUUUCUCUAUUCUGUCAUUCAGACAAAAAUUUUAAAAUUAAAUCUUGAUUUCUCUCUCUUGCCAAAUAUUGUCUAUCUUGCCAUCCAUCUCUUUCUCACCAUCCCAAAGAGUAGAGAUGACAUCAAGAUAUGUGUUUUAGGUUCUUAGAUUUAUUAGUUUAUUCAUAGAAUCUCAAAAUUGAUGAGCUAAAAUUGAUUAGACAUCUAUAAAUUAGAAUACUGUAUGACUUUGGUAACUUAAAUCUGGCUGCGACUAGGCAAAUCAAUUAGGCAUUAAAUAUUGCAUUACUGAUUUUUAAGUAUUGUGAGAAUAGUUUUUAGGCAUUAGUGAUUUAAUCAUUACGUCUUUAGUUUUUAAAUAUUACGUGACUGAUUUUUAAGCAUUAUGUAAUUGAUUUUUAGGCAUUAUGUAACUGAUUUUUAGACAAUGCCUAAUUCAUACAAUACUUAAAAAUUUGUCACGCAAUGCCUUACUAACUAGUAAUCGUAAUGACUUACUAACCAGUCACGCAAUGUCUUACUAAAUAGUCAAGUAAUAUCAUAUCAACCAGUCACACAAUACACAAAAAUUACUCGCACAAUACCUAAAAAUCAAUAACGUAAUACCUAAAAACUAAUCAUGCAAUGCCCAAAAACUGAUUACGCGAUGCCUAAAAACUAUAAAAACUACUAAAUUUCAUUUAAUAAAAUCAACAACUUCAAAUAAUACAUCAAAUUCCAUUAACAAUAUAAUCAACGAAUAUACUUACUUGAUGAAGAAUGCUCAAAAUACUUAAAAAUUUUUCUUCAUAUAUCAAAAAUCACUCCAAAAUAUUUCAAAAUACUCAAAACGCUCAAAGAUUUUUUUUCGUAUAUCAAAACUCAUUCUAAAAUACUCAUAAUACUUAAAAGUUUUUUUUUCUUGCAAUGAAUACUUAAAAAAUGAAUGAUCUGGUGAGUAAAGUUUAAAGGAUAUGAGUCAAUUUGAUGUACAGACCUAAAUAUAUGGGUUGAUUUCAUUAAAAGUAAUUUUGUUCAAAAUUAAUUUUUUUGACUAAAAAUAGUUAAAAUUAUAAAAGAUGCUAUUUUCAACCAUUUUAUGUAUGAAAGAUAUUUUUCAAAAAAAUCCUUUUUUUUAUUGAUCAAUGGUUGAAAAUAAACUUUUUAAAUCCAAUGGUUCUUAUUCGUAACUUUACAUUAACGUUAAACUUACUGAAAAAUUUACCCAAUCAUUAACUUGAAAUGACCCGAUCUCAAAUAAUCUAUCUAAAUCCAAUUGAUUUGAUUAUAAAAAAUUAAUAAUUUAAACUUAAAGUAUUUAAAUUUAAAUAAUCUAAAUGUCAAAUCUGGAUCAUUCAAAUUCAGAAUAAUCUACAGUUCAACCAAAAAGGAUCCAAACCUAAAAUUAACCCAAAUUUCCUUCAACCUGGCGUGAUCUGACAUAAAUCGAUCUGAUCCGUCAACUGUCACAUCAGUUAUUGUGCAAAAUUUGAAACGCUUUCAUAAAAAUUUCUAAUCUAAAUUUCAUAAAAAACAAGGUAAAAAAAUAUUUCCAUUUCCCUUAUAUGGCCUAACCAACGAAACAAACAAAUAUAGAGGCCAUGGCUCGCGAGGUAAGCAACGGACCCUCAAGUAGCAACAAAAUGUAAACCCAAUUGCAGACCAGACACAACAGGAGACUCAAAUCAUCAUUCUUUAUAGUAGUCGUUGAACUGUUCAAAAUUUACAAAGUUUCAAAAGGUCGCAACCCAUUACGCGUUGUUCUUGGGGUUUCUUGCACCAUCACCCCGUUGAAUUUGGAAUGAAGUACGGGAUUCUUUUAUCUAUAUUAUAAUUUGUACAGUUCUGGAAUUCGAUUGUUUUCAUGAUAGGAGAAAUGAUACAGGAAACUGAAAAUGAUCCCAAAUGGAACUUUGACGGUAUUCUUUUUGUUUUGGAGGAAAGCAAUGCUCAACGGUCACAUUUUCACCUAAUGUCCCAAGAAUUUGAAACUGUCUUCGAUUUCAUCAGCUGCUUAAUUUUGUUGUUGGUAUGUGACCCCCAAAAAAAAAAAAUUUGUUCUUAUUUGAAAUGAAAUUGCAAACAACUAUCAAAGUUAGGAGAUGAAACAAUAUGAAUUGCAGAUGACCACGCAAAGCAUGAAUUAUUAUUCAAUAAAUGAGUUAAAUAAUUUUUUUUCUCCUAUAUGUUUGACUCUCAACUUGAAUAUAUUCAUGUGAUUUUUGAGAUGAGCAAAAUCCAAUAAAAUUUCUAACGCACUUUUGCCUAAUCCAUGAUCACCAAUACUUGUGCAACUGGCACUUGCGUGGGAAGAAGGUAAAAAGUGGCUCAUCAAACUUGCUGUUGUUCCAUUAUUGUGGAAAAGUGCAACAAGAAGUAAGAAGCCGUUACCUUAACGCUUAGGAAAUCCAUCCUUUUGCCCCUCUUCUGUCCCAAUUACUUGCUUUAAUCCACAGUCAAAUCACUUUUUCUUUUUAUAAAGAGAUUGAUGUAUUGUCGUUUUAUGCCGACGGUUAGUGAAUUUUAUUUUAUUUUUUUAAUUUGUUCAAGUAUCCGUGUAAAAUCAGUGUGUAACAAAUCUGAAAAUUCAAGUAGUCGUAACGGAGGAAAAGAAAAAAAGUUAAACAGAAAAAGAUAGGAGGCCUAACUGACUUGUCCCCUGUGUGUUGAUACAGGGAGAGGGAAGUACCUUUAUUGUUGGCACUUCUCACUCAUAACUGUAAACAAUUAUUGUUUCGUAUCAGAUUCGCUGUAAUGGGCCCUUACAUUGCCUGCAGUUGUUUUGUAAUUUCACAAUGUUGCAGAUUUGAUCAAUGAAUUCUCCAUGGCAUCCUUGCCGAACUGGGAAAGGGAGGGGACUUUAAAAUGUGGGAAGUAUUGUGAAACCAGAUCCAUGACCCCAAAGGCACAUUCAGAAAUAACUUCUGAAAACUAGGAAAAAGACAGAUUCAACACCUGUUUCCCAUUUGUUUUGUUUUUCAAGACAGGUUAGGUUAGGAAAUAAUUGACACAAAAGUUGUCAGAUCCAUCUGUUUAAUUCUUUCUGAAUUCGAUCAAUCUCACCAGAAGAUCAAAAUGAAUGCGCAUCUGUCCUUGUCAAUGCAUAUAGUGCCUCAGAUUUGUUAUACAUGGUUUAGGACAUGAAAGAAUCGGAAGAAAUGUGGAAAUUAAAUGGUCACUCUUCUCUUUUUUUUUUUUUUUUUUCAGUUCAAUGAUACUUGUAAAAGAUAUAUAGAAAUGUGGUGGCAGAAAUACCCUUUUGAACAACAAUAAUUUUGUUCGGAACCACAGAGGUUUGGCUACAGUUGUCUACAAUGAAUUCAAUAGGAUAUACAGGGAUGGAACUGAAAGAAUCUUGAUCUAAAAAGUGGGGAAAAAAAAUUAUCAAUCUCCUAACCUUCUAUCUGUAUCAAACCUCUGACAUAUUUUCACCAUCUGUGCAGCAAAACCCCCUUGAUGUCUUUGAUUCCAUGCUUCUAACGGAAGAGCCACCAGGAAGAGAAGAUUGGGAAGAGAAAUGGGAAGUUGCCAUGGACAAGGUACAAUCACUCCAGGUCUUUUUCUUGGAAAACGAUAUACUCCUUGUACGAGGACAAGCGGAAGAGCAGACACCCUUUAAGUUGUGCAGGGCACAGCUGCAGUUGCGAUGAUAUGGUCUUCGCUUGAUCUCAAUUUCUUGCAUCACUAGGCUUCCUUCAA